AGGAUGAACGCUGGCGGCGUGCCUAACACAUGCAAGUCGAACGUGAGCCCAAUUUCGGUUGGGUGAAAGUGGCGAACGGGUGAGUAACACGUUGGUGACCUGCCCCGAGGUGGGGGAUAACUCCUCGAAAGAGGAGCUAAAACCCCGGAUGUCUGAGGCGUUAGAGGCUUCAGACUAAAACUGAGGUGUCUCGGGAGGGGCCUGCGGGCUAUCAGCUAGUUGGUGAGGUAAAGGCUCACCAAGGCGCANACGGCUAGGGGGCGUGAGAGCGUGACCCCCCACAAGGGAACUGAGAGACGGUCCCUACUCCUACGGG
rnacentral:rRNA from 1 species